rnacentral:rRNA from 1 species
AUUGAACGCUGGCGGCAUGCCUAACACAUGCAAGUCGAACGGCAGCACAGUCUAGCUUGCUAGAUGGGUGGCGAGUGGCGAACGGGUGAGUAACGCGUGGGAAUAUGGCUUAAAGAGUGGGACAACUUGGGGAAACUCAAGCUAAUACCGCAUAAGCUCUUAGGAGGAAAGCUGGGGACCUUCGGGCCUGGCGCUUUAAGAUUAGCCUGCGUCCGAUUAGCUAAUUGGUAGGGUAAGGGCCUACCAAGGCGACGAUCGGUAGCUGGUCUGAGAGGAUGACCAGCCACACUGGGACUGAGACACGGCCCAGACUCCUACGGGAGGCAGCAGUGGGGAAUAUUGGACAAUGGGGGCAACCCUGAUCCAGCAAUGCCGCGUGUGUGAAGAAGGCCUGAGGGUUGUAAAGCACUUUCAGUGGGGAGGAGAGAUGUCAGGUUAAGAGCUGGACAUUGAGACGUUACCCACAGAAGAAGCACCGGCUAACUCCGUGCCAGCAGCCGCCGUAA